GGAAGAUGUUCCAGUGGUGGUCCCGGCCCUGGCACUGCUGCCCUGCGGCAAGCCUGGGCACGGCCACCUCUGCCUCCUCCCGUCCAGGGAUGGAAUUUGCACCCUGCCUGACACCAGUCCCAGCAGUCAGCACCUGGUGGGCUGGAACUGCCCUAAAGGUCACAGCUGCUGUCUGAGUUUGUUUGUUUGUUUUUAUGCCCAAUAGCUGGGUAUGCAAAAUCAAAGAUAGUCUGUGGUGGUGGUGGGCCUUUCCUAGUCGCCUUCUCCUGCAGUCCAGAAAUCCAAAAUGUCUUCCUGAGGAAUUCCUCCUUCCCCUGUCCUUUGCAAACGCCAGGGGGUGAUGGAUUUCAACAACCUCUACAGUCCUCAGCCUGAAGAUUUGGAAACUGGGCUUAGAGAGGUUAGUACCUUGCCAAAGUUACAAAGUUGUAAGUGGCAGAGCUGGAACUCGAAGGCAUCUCUGGCCUGAAGCCUGAGCUUUACCCAGUGUGCUUUACCACCUCCCUUGUACGUCCAAGCUGCCCAUGAAGACCGACACUGAGACCAACUUAGCCUGAACACGGAGACAGCACCGGGGCUUGCGGCACCAAAGGCUUAAAUUGCUAACUCCAAAGGUAACGUGAAGAAGAUUCCCUUUAGAAAACAAGGACCAUUAUGUCCUUUGCGUGUCUACUCCAACAAACCGUGGUUCCUGCAUCAAAACCC